CGGGGUGUGGCGCAGUCUGGUAGCGCGCGUCGUUCGGGACGACGAGGUCGAGUGUUCGAGUCACUUCACCCCGACCA
rnacentral:tRNA from 1 species